rnacentral:rRNA from 1 species
GGGAAACUGGGGAUAAUACCGGAUAGGCAAUUUUUCCUGGAAUGGUUUUUUGUUUAAAUGUUUUUUCGCCUAAGGAUGGGUCUGCGGCCGAUUAGGUAGUUGGUUAGGUAACGGCUUACCAAGCCGUUGAUCGGUACGGGUUGUGAGAGCAAGAGCCCGGAGAUGGAACCUGAGACAAGGUUCCAGGCCCUACGGGGUGCAGCAGGCGCGAAACCUCCGCAAUGUGAGAAAUCGCGACGGGGGGAUCCCAAGUGCCAUUCUUAACGGGAUGGCUUUUCAUUAGUGUAAAAAGCUUUUGGAAUAAGGGCUGGGCAAGACCGGUGCCAGCCGCCGCGGUAACACCGGCAGCUCUAGUGGUAGCAGUUUUUAUUGGGCCUAAAGCGCCCGUAGCCGGUUUAAUAAGUCUCUGGUGAAAUCCUGUAGCUUAACUGUGGGAAUUGCUGGAGAUACUAUUAGACUUGAGACCGGGAGAGGUUAGAGGUACUCCCAGGGUAGAGGUGAAAUUCUGUAAUCCUGGGAGGACCGCCUGUUGCGAAGGCGUCUAACUGGAACGGUUCUGACGGUGAGGGACGAAAGUUAGGGGCGCGAACCGGAUUAGAUACCCGGGUAGUCCUAACUGUAAACGAUGCGGACUUGGUGUUGGGGUGGCUUUGAGCUGCUCCAGUGCCGAAGGGAAGCUGUUAAGUCCGCCGCCUGGGAAGUACGGUCGCAAGACUGAAACUUAA